AUUUGCAGGGUAUUACUUUCAAAAGUGUAAAUUGAAGAAUUUACUUACAUCACAUUCUUCAUCGUGCAGUUACAUUUAGGAGAUUGGGUUGCAUUUAGGAGAUUGGGUUGCUUUAUUUCUACUGUCUUAUGCAUUAUUAAUUAUGUGGACUCUGGACUUAAUGAACAGUUGUCUUUUUCUGCCAUCAUAAAUAGUUUGGUUUGACCAUUUUGCAGACAUGUGGAAACAG
rnacentral:misc_RNA from 1 species